GGCGACUGCGGGCGCUGCGGUCCACUGGGUCCGCCUCUUCCCGGCAUGGGUUUCUGCCCAGCUCACCCGCUGUCAGCUGGGGUCCUGCUCUGGUGGGAGGAAGAGGCUCAGACGCUUCCCUGCCCUCUCGCCUCAACCACCUCGAGGCAGCGGCUCCCAGGAUGUGCACUUUGACGACUAAAGCUGAGCCGGCGCCGCCACGACCUUGGGCGGGUGGUCGGCCUCUGCCCUGAGCAGGAAGUAGAAAGUCUCAGCAGACCCUUCCUGAGGGCCGAGCAACAGUGUAGUGGCGUAUUCCACAUAGCAAACAGGUGAAUUCCUUGGAAGAUGAGGGCCAAGUCUUAUUCUUCUCAGUCUCUUCUGCAUCUAGCAGAAGAAUAAUGGUUGCACAGAAAAUCUUGGUUCAGUGGUUGAGUGAAUGAAUGGAUGAACAGGCUCUUGCACACAAAGAAGAGACAUGAUGUAUUUGCAUCCUUCCCUGCUUCAGCCAGUUUUCUGAAGCUCAGAGGGACACCUUGUAUUGCUGGAUGAUAAAAACAGGAGCAAAGUGAUGAAGUGCUGACAAGGCAACAAUAGAACAUGAGAGAUUCACUGCUGUGUAGGAAGAGAUCUUCGGUGACCAUGUAGCCUGAAGCUCUCAUUUUGUCAUCGAGGGACACCAAAACUCAGAACAGAUAGAGUCUUGCUCUGUGACCCAGGCUUGUGUGCAGCGGUACGAUAUUGGCUCACUGCGACCUCCACCUCCCAGGUUCAAGCAAUUCUCCUGCCUCAGCCUCCCAAGUAGCUGGGAUUACAGAUGAGGUCUCCAAGGGACCAGAUGGAGAACAGAUGCAACCACACUGAAGUCAGAAUCGCAGCUUGCCUCCGACACCUGACGCUUCACUGUUGGCGAGGCCCACUAUGCCUCGCUCUCCCCCUGUAAUGAGUUCUAUCCCAGAGGCUCCUAUACCCUUUAGAAAUAAACUGCUCAGGCAGCCCAACCAGUUCAUCCAAGAGGCCUGGAACCACAGCAGCGUCGACAGCUGAGAUGAGAGUUGGUCCCUGAUCUGAUACAGAGCCUGGGUUUAGCUUUGAUUUCUCUCUUCCUAGGCAAGAUCUUUAGAGAAUAACUUUUUGUGCCUGGCCAUCUCCUGCUCUUUUCUCAACCCAAAAGGGCUAUGUUCACCUAAAGAGGAAAAGCAAGAAGGCUUCCUGGGCUCGGGAGGUCAGGGCUGGAAAGAACUGCUCACCAUUUCUGAGCCGAUGAGGACUCACCUGGGCUCCUCACUGGUCAGGGAACUGUGGCCCAGCCGCAGAGUGAUUGCUUUGUCAAGAAGGGAAACAUUUACCUUUCCUUCUUCCCUCUGCUCUCUCCUAAUUAACAAUUAAAUGGAAGGAGUUGAAAAGACAUGUCAGAGACUUCAAUCUCCUCCCGGCCUGAGGAUGAAGGGGGCUCGAACCUGAAUGUUCUCUUCGCUGUGGCCAGAACCUAGGGGGCUGGGGUUGCUGCCAGCUCGACUGGAGGCCUGCUUCCAGCCCCAGGCUGUGGAAUGUGCUGGGGCCACAGGCAGGUCAGGCCAGGCUUUCUGGGGAGUGAAUGCUCUCUGCCAGUGGCGGAUGGAACUGGUAGACACGUCCCCCGGAUUCCUCGCCUGCAAGUGGGAUGGUGCCAGGAAAGUUCUACACCAUCCUUCCCAGGUCCCAGGAGGACAAGCACAGUUGUCCACAAGUGUGGAUCAGUGUUAAAAGUGCUUCAUGGAGAAAUGGAGGCCUGAAAGCGACUCUGAAGGAGGAGUGGGGCUCAGCAAACAGCAGACGAGUUUCAAUCCAAGCACCCAUUACCCCCCUAACACACGGCAUACGUGCAUCUCAUCUCCUCCUGUGUCGCUAAGAAGCUACCCAUAUGUCUGUCAUUAAUUCUCCAGAAUCCUUGGACACACCCCUCUGCAGAGCUUUCUAACAGGAAAUACAAGUCUCAGAUUUUUUUUUAAGUUAAAAUUGAGUGCAGCACUCAUACCUUUCUUCGAGCAUGAACCGUCAAUCAACACUGCCUCAUGAGCUACUGCUCUCCUGCUCUUUGAAAAGACAAAUCCUUAUUUCUUUGUAGUGAUCCAGAAGGCAGUGGGAAGAAUGACAGGUGCUUGGUUAUCUUCAAUUUAAUCUCUACCUUUCAAUGGGGCUAGUGCAAGCUAGGGCCAUUUUACUGCACCCAAAGGAAUUUAAGACAUUUCUAUUAUCUCUAAAGAAUCCAGAUUAACAUGCCUUCUUGGUGGGCAGGGAGACCAGCUAUGAAUUCUAGGAUCUCAAUUCAAAUGCUUUUGAAUUCUUCCUGCUUGUUCAGUUAAUUACAUAUAUGUCACCACAAUCUUGCUUUUUUUUUUCUAUGCUUCUAAUUUUCUCUGAAACUAUAACAUUAUUUUAGGGG
ensembl:lncRNA SLC44A3-AS1 SLC44A3 antisense RNA 1